GCUAAUACCGCAUACGCCCUACGGGGGAAAGCAGGGGAUCUUCGGACCUUGCGCUAAUAGAUGAGCCUAAGUCGGAUUAGCUAGUUGGUGGGGUAAAGGCCUACCAAGGCGACGAUCUGUAGCGGGUCUGAGAGGAUGAUCCGCCACACUGGGACUGAGACACGGCCCAGACUCCUACGGGAGGCAGCAGUGGGGAAUAUUGGACAAUGGGCGSAAGCCUGAUCCAGCCAUGCCGCGUGUGUGAAGAAGGCCUUUUGGUUGUAAAGCACUUUAAGCGAGGAGGAGGCUCCUUUAGUUAAUACCUAAAGWGAGUGGACGUUACUCGCAGAAUAAGCACCGGCUAACUCUGUGCCAGCAGCCGCGGUAAUACAGAGGGUGCGAGCGUUAAUCGGAUUUACUGGGCGUAAAGCGUGCGUAGGCGGCUUUUUAAGUCGGAUGUGAAAUCCCUGAGCUUAACUUAGGAAUUGCAUUCGAUACUGGAAAGCUAGAGUAUGGGAGAGGAUGGUAGAAUUCCAGGUGUAGCGGUGAAAUGCGUAGAGAUCUGGAGGAAUACCGAUGGCGAAGGCAGCCAUCUGGCCUAAUACUGACGCUGAGGUACGAAAGCAUGGGGAGCAAACAGGAUUAGAUACCCUGGUAGUCCAUGCCGUAAACGAUGUCUACUAGCCGUUGGGGCCUUUGAGGCUUUAGUGGCGCAGCUAACGCGAUAAGUAGACCGCCUGGGGAGUACGGUCGCAAGACUAAAACUCAAAUGAAUUGACGGGGGCCCGCACAAGCGGUGGAGCAUGUGGUUUAAUUCGAUGCAACGCGAAGAACCUUACCUGGCCUUGACAUACUAAGAACUUUCCAGAGAUGGAUUGGUGCCUUCGGGAACUUAGAUACAGGUGCUGCAUGGCUGUCGUCAGCUCGUGUCGUGAGAUGUUGGGUUAAGUCCCGCAACGAGCGCAACCCUUUUCCUUAUUUGCCAKCGGGUAAUGCCGGGAACUUUAAGGAUACUGCCAGUGACAAACUGGAGGAAGGCGGGGACGACGUCAAGUCAUCAUGGCCCUUACGGCCAGGGCUACACACGUGCUACAAUGGUCGGUACAAAGGGUUGCUACCUCGCGAGAGGAUGCUAAUCUCAAAAAGCCGAUCGUAGUCCGGAUCGCAGUCUGCAACUCGACUGCGUGAAGUCGGAAUCGCUAGUAAUCGCGGAUCAGAAUGCCGCGGUGAAUACGUUCCCGGGCCUUGUACACACCGCCCGUCACACCAUGGGAGUUUGUUGCAC
rnacentral:rRNA from 1 species